rnacentral:rRNA from 1 species
UGGGGAAUUUUGCGCAAUGGGCUAACGCCUGACGCAGCAACGCCGCGUGGAGGAUGAAGGUCUUUGGAUUGUAAACUCCUGUCAGCAGGGAAAAAGGGACUGGGCCUAAUACGUCCGGAACUUGAUUGUACCUGCAGAGGAAGCCCCGGCUAACUCUGUGCCAGCAGCCGCGGUAAUACAGAGGGGGCAAGCGUUAUUCGGAAUUAUUGGGCGUAAAGGGCGCGUAGGCGGCUUUUCAAGUGGCGGGUGAAAUCCCUCGGCUUAACCGAGGAACUGCCUGCCAGACUGAAUGGCUUGAGACCGGGAGAGGUGAGUGGAAUUCCCAGUGUAGCGGUGAAAUGCGUAGAUAUUGGGAGGAACACCAGUGGCGAAGGCGGCUCACUGGACCGGUACUGACGCUGAGGCGCGAAAGCGUGGGGAGCAAACAGG